UGUUUAAGCAUGUCAGGCAGUAGGAGGAAGAGGAGACUUCGCUGUUCUAUUCAAGAAGCUGCAAGUACAAGUGUAUGCAGAACACCAGACUACAUGGAAGUAUUGACAACUCAAUACAAUGCAUUGAUGAACCUAAGUUUACCAGAUUCUGUAAAGAAUCAUGCAACAGUGAAC